rnacentral:rRNA from 1 species
UACAGAUGGACCCGCGGCGCUUAGCUAGUUGGUGAGGUAACGGCUCACCACGGCGACGAUGCGUAGCCGACUGAGAGGGUGAUCGGCCACACUGGGAUUGAGACACGGCCCAGACUCCUACGGGAGGCAGCAGUAGGGAAUCUUCCGCAAUGGACGAAAGUCUGACGGAGCAACGCCGCCUGAGUGAUGAAGGUNUUCGGAUCGUANAGCUCUGUUGUUAGGGAAGAACAAGUGCAAGAGUAACUGCUUGCACCUUGACGGUACCUAACCAGAAAGCCACGGCUAACUACGUGCCAGCAGCCGCGGUAAUACGUAGGUGGCCAGCGUUGUCCGGAAUUAUUGGGCGUAAAGGGCUCGCNGGCGGUUUNUUAAGUNUGAUGUGAAAGCCCCCGGCUCAACCGGGGAGGGUCAUUGGAAACUGGGAAACUUGAGUGCAGAAGAGGAGAGUGGAAUUCCACGUGUAGCGGUGAAAUGCGUAGAGAUGUGGAGGAACACCAGUGGCGAAGGCGACUCUNUGGUCUGUAACUGACGCUGAGGAGCGAAAGCGUGGGGAGCGAACAGGAUUAGAUACCCUGGUAGUCCACGCCGUAAACGAUGAGUGCUAAGUGUUAGGGGGUUUCCGCCCCUUAGUGCUGCAGCUAACGCAUUAAGCACUCCGCCUGGGGAGUACGGUCGCAAGACUGAAACUCAAAGGAAUUGACGGGGGCCCGCACAAGCGGUGGAGCAUGUGGUUUAAUUCGAAGCAACGCGAAGAACCUUACCAGGUCUUGACAUCCUCUGACAACCCUAGAGAUAGGGCUUUCCCUUCGGGGACAGAGUGA